UUUUUCUCAAAUAUCUGUUACCAAGUCUUUUUCUCAAAUAUGGAACUCUUUUUUCUCAAAUAACUGUUUUAAGAAGCUGUUACCAAGUCUUAAAACAAAAACAGAAAUUAAAUUGAUACACUCGAAAACCACACAAGAGGGCUUCUUUUAAACAUUACAUCAGACUCAGUCUUUGUUUUAUUGGAACUUACCAAAAGCACUCAAAAGCAUGAGCACCAUCGGCUAGGAGUCUUUAGAUUCCCCUUUUAGCACAAUCUCUAGGAAUUACGAUUUGAUACACCUCUUACUUGGCCUCGACCACCAUAUCCAUAGUCGCCGCCGCCGCCACCACCACGAGGUCCACUAUAACCGCCACAUGAAUGAACGUUACCGCAGAAAGCUUCUCUCAUUUGCCAAAACUCUAGCAUUUUCAUCACCCGUAUUCAUCUCAAUAAAGUUCGUCCAUGCAAAAUUCUUACGUCCAUUUAAUUAUGCUUACAUGGACAUGCUUCUUUUAAUGGAUUCUUAUAAACAAAUUUCCAAUUUCAACAAAGCUAUUUACAAUGGGCGUGAAAUCUUGCAACCUGCGAGAGUGAAAGAGGAGAUCAGAGCAAUAAUUAAGGAAAUACAAUCUCACAACAUCCAUUUAGAAGAAUUUCUCUCCAGAUUCAUACAAUAAACAUACAUAUAGCUCAAUUUCUCUCCAGAUUCAUCAAUUCCACUGCAGAUUUUAGAGAUUUAAAGUGAACUGAUCCAAAUAUUUCCAGAUUCAAAGGAAGAAAAAGAGAGAUUGAAGAAUCUAGAUGACAACCCCAGAAAUCCAGAUUUGAGGAAUCCAGAUGACAAUGUCGGAACCAGAAAAAGAGCGCUCGAGGAAUUCUUUGGAAACCAAGAAUCCUAGGGAAAUAAAACAACAUUCUCGCUCAAUGACAAAAGAGAGAUUACUGUUUUUGAACCCUUAAACUAAUGCCAAAAUGAUCUCCUCUUCUUCUCUUUAGCUGCUUAUAGAGACCGGGCGCUUGGUAAUGAGUUUCACUGCAUUGGUAAUGAGUUUCAAAUAUUAUUUUUAACAUUACAAGUAGAGAGAUCUAGGAUAUAAAUGAUUUACUAUCCAUCGGGAUUGUACUAUAUGGUUACGAAACAGCAUCAAAUGAUUUAGCGUCCACGCAAACAUGAACAUGUGGAUAUCCCAUCCUCUUAUAAACACUUUUGCAGUUUUUCGGUGUAUCAUUUCAAUAGUUUAAAAUGAUUUAAUGUCCAUAGGGAUUGUACUAUGUGGUUAUGAAUCAGUUCCAAAUGAUUUUGUAUCUUUGUAAUUUAGCUUUUCGUGUGACUCAGCUAAUCAAUCCUUCUUUCGUGCGUUGUAUCAAAACUUCAAGCAGCUUAGGAUCCAAAAACUUCAAGCAGCUUAGGAUAGACACUUGGUUUACAGUGUUGCAACAAAGCUCUGCCUAGGUUCUACUCUACCUGUCACCUAGAUUACAUAGCAAAACAUAACCAGCCAUAUCAAAGGUUAAUACUUUCAACUAAAAAACUACAGUUCGAAGAUAAUCCAGUAGAUACCAUAAGAGAGAUUCAGGUGAGAUGAUUUGCAACUGAUUUAUGUAUAUACCAUAAGAGAGAUGCAGAGUCAACACAAACAAGCUACACAAAGUAGUAACAAUAAAGAGUUAUAAGCGUUUAAGUAUAGCAAACAAACAAAACAGGAGAUAGCAAUACUGUAGGACAACUAGUUAGCAACUAAAAGGAGUAAAAACUUUUAAAGAUCAAGACCUUGAUAUCCUCACAAAGUCACAAACAUUCACAAAUUCGAAAUCCAAAUUUUGAGGUUUCAAGGGAAGAGAUAACUCGCGUAAUUGUAGACUUAGAAAUCAUCAAUGAAAAACGUGACACUUCCCAAAUCAAAGGUCAAAGCUUCAUCUAACCGAUGAACAAUCGCCUCAAAUUCCAAAAUCCAUCUCAAAUACAUAAAAAUAAGGUGAAGAUCAACAGGGUAUCGUCUUCCUUUUUUUUGUUUUAUUAUAGCCACAGUUUUACUUGCGUUGAAUAAUUCCGUUUAUCUAAAAGACAAGAAAUCAAACGACAACAUCAAUUACAUAUCCACUGCAUAUGCCAUGGAAUCAUCGAUUACAUAUCCUUCGGUUUGUUGCAUUUUUCCCAAUCGAACUUCAAGCAAAAACAAAAUCGAAACAAUCAAAUGUUGUAUGGGAAAGGAAUAAGAUCUGGAAAAACAAUGAAGCAAGAGAAUUACUUUUUAGGGUUGAGAAACAUAAUAGCUGGUUGACUUUUUAGCUGUGGCACAGAAGAAAUUGAAGAGACAACCCAUGGCUUCGAUGAAAUCGGAAGAGAGAAAAAGGAACAGCAAUGGAAGAAGCUACUGAGAUUUUCCGAGAAAGAUAGGAAAAGUCGAGAGUGAAAGAAUUGGUGGGUAUGAGUCAAUUGUUUUCAAAUUUGAAAUUAUCUGAUGGAAAUCACGGUAAUGAGAUAAGUCCAGAAAUGG
rnacentral:lncRNA from 1 species